rnacentral:miRNA from 1 species
UUCUUGGCUGACUCCCUGA